rnacentral:rRNA from 3 species
AAACUUUCAACAACGGAUCUCUUGGUUCUCGCAUCGAUGAAGAACGCAGCGAAAUGCGAUAAGUAGUGUGAAUUGCAGAAUUCAGUGAAUCAUCGAAUCUUUGAACGCACAUUGCGCCUCCUGGUAUUCCGGGAGGCAUGCCUGUUCGAGCGUCAUCA